rnacentral:lncRNA from 1 species
UAGAGGGCAUGGAUUAUAUCUUCUACAUAAAGUUAGCACCAUGACCCAUUUUUUGUCUAGGUCAUCAGGGAAGGAAUUCAUUCUGGAUAUCCAUUAUGACUUUACAUGGGCACAGAGAAGGCACAAUUAAACAAUGAUGACUUCUAGCCUCUGGGUUCAUCUCAGUAGAAUGGCAGUGCUUCUUCCAAACUCCACUCAGGGAGGAGACAAUUCUGUUGCUGAUUGAAGGGUCCCCACUUGGAAGUGUCAUAUUGAAUCUGGCCUAAAUAAUGUGACAAAAGCCAGACAGAUGGGAUUGGGGAAGAAAACACAGAGCUAGGGUAAGAUCAACCUUCACUGCCCCCACCCUCCGCCGCCUUGCACAUUUGUUUUGCUUACUUGAAUGAAAUAUGGAGCUAUUUUAAAUUCCCACAUAACACAAUGGUAUCAAUAAAAUGUAGCCUAGUUAAAAAAAUGUAUUUUAUUUUUCCAUUUGUGAUUACAUUAAGCUUCCGUGAAAAUGGAACACACCAGUUUCACAGCAGGGGAAGAUAGAUACAGCAAGAUUAGAGAGGCAAGAUGUUCAGGAUUAGAAGGAUCUGUAUGGCUGAAAGUGAGGUAAUGAUAAUGAUUAUGUGAUAAUAGUACUGUUGUGCUGUUUUAUGAGGCAGUAAUCCAGCUCCCAAAGCAGAUAAACUAUGGGGGUGAAGGCUGAGUUUAUCCCAUGGAGGGCAAUAGAUUGUUGCUGAAUAACCCAGCAUGACAGUAAGGCUUUUUCUUUUUCAAAGUGAGGGUUUAAAAGUAAGUUUUAAAAUAAAAUGAGUAACUUCCCAAAUUUGAGCAAGUGAACAGCCAAGCAGCAGUAAAAGAAAAGCACGUUGUGCAGGAGGAUGGGGGGCUUGUGGGGUGGAGACAGUAUUCUUUUAUGCAAUGGAAACUGGAGUUCUAGUAAAAGGAGACAAAAUUUCCAGGAUCCAAAAUAAAAACAAAAACAAAUCCUCACUAGCAUACAUAUUGGCAGCUGAAAUGAAGUGGUAUUUUUCUAGAAAAGUAUUAACUACUGCAGAAUGCAAGUGUAUUUUCAUUCAUCUCAUUUUAAGUCAUUGUUCAUUCGUGCUUGACAAGUUACUAUGUGGAAGGGGCUACAUUAGUUAUAGCAGCAGUUACAGACAAAUGGCAUAUUAUCCUUUGUUUCUAUGAGCUUGCAGAUCAGUACUGCUAAUAAGCUGGCAAAAGAGCUCAGUCUUCAGUUUUUCUUCUGUAACAAUGACUGACCAGAAGCAAAUCUAACUCAGUCUUGGGGAUUCCUCCUUACCCCCACAUGUAUAUAGGCAUGUCAGAGCUUAUUUGGUUCUAGAAAAUGGAGGAGGGAUGGGAUUCAAUCCUCAGUCCAUGUUGGUCACUCCUUCCGGGCUCUUCACUUAGACGUGUGGCAUCAGUUCAAUUUGGGUGGCUCCACUGGCAGCUGGUUUUACUCUGGGACAGCUGGGAAAAUGUUACUUCAGCUCCCAAAGCCUUAGUGCUUAGUCCACAUUCUUUCCCCCUCACUGGCUGCCAGCAGGCAUCCCCUUAUGGUAUUGUCACCUCAGAAGACACCCUGUCAGAUGGGCUCAUGCAUCCUUUACCAUGUAGAACUGCUUUCCCUGUCUUUUCUAAGUAUUUGGAAACAAUUUGACUCCAUCCCCACAACCAAGGGAUGGGGCCACUUCUAUCAUUGAAUUCUCAUCUGCUCCUCCAUUCUCACACAAAAUUCAAGCUCAGUACUGUGGCUUCCAAUGCAGGGCCCAGUUAGGGUUUGUCUUGGAGGUGCCUACCCAUCUGGACCUUCUUUGCAGCCUAUCAUUCAAAAAAACCAAUUUCAAGGAUAGUGAAAUGGCUUUUAAGUUCUGGGGGAUGUGCAGAUGGAAAAACAAACAGAAAAAAAUCCCAAAAGCUUUUAUUUCUCAUUAGUGAAGCUAAAUUUGAGAAAAACCAGGCUAACUGAAGUUCUCAAGAGGUUAUUCUGCCACACUGAUUUCUCCAUAAAGUUCCUGCUAUACUUGAGAAGAGGAAGUAGUGUGUCUGUUUGUUCACCAUUGAAUUCCUAACAUCUAUCAAAUUGCCUUGCUUAUCAUAGGUCUACUGUACUUUUUUGAAUAAAUAGUGAAUGCAUCAGGCAGUUAAAUAAUUAACAGACAUGCGUUAAUGUGACUGCUUUGGUGAUUGUCCAUCUCUGAGAACACCAGAGAGCAUUUAUUCACAGAUAUUUACAGAGUCCUUAUGUGUUCUGGGCACUGUUUCAGUACUUGGAGUCCAUCACUGCACACAACAGACAAGGACCCCUGCCCUCAUGGAGCUUUCAUCCUAGCCGAGGUGGCAAUGAACAAUACAUAUAUUCAAAAAUGAGUUGUUAAAUGUGUUAGGAAAUAAGUAUUAUGGGAAAAAAUAAGGCCAAGCAGAGCGAAGGAGAUACUGCAUAAGGGGCAAUUCACCUUAUUAAGCAGAGAGGUCAGAGUUGACCUCAUAGAGAACGUGGUAUAGAACAAACACGGGUGGACCAGAGUUACUCAAGCACAUGUUUAGAGCAGUAACACUCUCUGGGUAGAGAAAAAACAACCGCAGCAAAGGUGGGAAGUGUGUUUGGCAUUUUUAAAAAUUGUAACAAAAUGCACAUAACAUAAAAUUCAUCAUUUUCACUAUUUUAAGUGUAUAAUUUUGUGGUGUUUAGUACAUUCACAGUGUGCAAGUAUCACUAUUAUCUAGUUCUAGAACAUUUUUGUUACCCUGAAAGAAGAUUCCAUACUCGUUGAAAGUCAUCCCCUAUCUUUCCUCCCCCCAGCAUCUGGCAAUCUCUAAUCUGCUUUCUGCUUCUAUAGAUGCGCUUGGCUUUUGGAGGAAGACCAGGAAGCUAAUGUGGACAGGAGCCUCAUAAGUGAAAGGGAGCUUCGUAUGGGAGACAGUCAGUGAAGGAACAGGAAACGAAUCUUUUUUAGCUGUUUUAAGAACCAUGACUUUUACUCUGAAUGAAAUAGAGAACCAUUCCAGAGUCUGAAACAAGGAUAAAAAUCUCUGGGAGAGUAGAUUGAGGGGUGAGAGCGGGGGGAAGAAAGAGAGAAAAAUACUCCCCUUUUUUUUUUUUUUUUUACUUUUUAGGGCCACACUCGUGGCAUAUGGAAAUUUCCAGUCUAGGGGUCGAAUCAGAGCUACAACUGCCAGCCUACACCACAGCAACACAGGAUCCAAGCCGAAUCUGCAACCUACACCACAGCUCAUGGCAACGCCAGAUCCUUACCCACUGAGCCAGGCCAGGGAUUGAACCUGCAGCCUCAUGAUUCCUAGUGGGAUUCGUUUCCGCUGGGCCACAGCAAGAACUCCGAAUUCUAGAAAUAUUCUAAAGCUAGGACCAACAGGGCUUGCAGAUGAACUGGAUUUGUGUGUGAUAGAAAAGUGAUGUCAAGGAUUGCUCCAGUAAUGAGAAGAAUGAAGUUGCCAUCAACUAAGAUGGGAAGCAGCUGCAGCAGCAGGUUUUGGCAGGGGCAGGAGUGUGCACAUAUCAGGAGAACAGCUUGGGCAUAGUGAGUCUCUAAAACCUCUGUUCAUCCAAAUGAAAAUGUGAAGUAGAUGGUUAGAUGUGUGUGUGCCUGGGAUUCUGGCAAGUGGCCUGGAGUGGAGAUAAAAACUGGGGAGUCAUUAGUAUGGACAUGUUAUUUCACACUGUGAGAGUGGAGGGAAGUCACCCAGGAAUUGAAUGUGAAUGUAUAAUGAGAAGAGUCCAAGCGCUGAGCACUGGGGUGCAUCCUCCCUAAAUAAUGAGGGUACAAAAAGGAGAAACCAGUGUAGGAGGAAGCCAAGUGAAGAAAGUGAACCAAGGAGAAGAGAGUAGUCAACUGAAUGAAAGGCUGUUGAAUUGACUUACUAUUGGAUCUAGCAGUUUCAGUUGUGUGAUGAGCCUGUAAAUCAGAUUGUAAUGGGCUUAAGGGAAAGUGGGAAAGAGGAACUGGAAUAGUGAGUACAGACAAAUAUUUGGAGGAUUUUCUUGGAAAAGGGCUGAAGGAAAUGGAGGUAGUACCUGCUUCUUCAGUUCUUCACUUUGACUAGAAAUCUUAUCAUCUCCUAUUUUGUAAGUUACAUAGUUAAUUAUGUGAGUAACACUUUUCUUUGAAAAGUAUUGUUUCAUUUCCUUCCCCAUAGCUUCUCAGGACCAUCCCUAUCUUUUAAAAAUAAACAUAGGUUUAUGAGCAAGAUAGUGAGGGGUAAGAACAGAUCUGAGAUAAGAUUCUUCUUUGUGAAUCACUGAUGCUAAACCUAGUACUUUACAAAAUAAAAUACCUUUAAAAACUAUCCAGUAAAGAUUUUGUUCAUGUAUUUCUUAUAAGUUAGUUUAUAGCUAUUUACACAAAACGUAAGAAAAUUUGAAAAGUUUAUAAGUCAUGGAGAGAAUCUCAAUCGUCAUUCCUCCCAGCCCCUUGGAAGAACAGGAAAUUAUAUGCAAAGCUUAUUUUAAGGCCUUUACAAUGCUUAAUUUAUUUAGGUACAUAAAAAUGCAUUAUGUAUAACUUAGCUAAUAAAGCUUUGUUUGGGAUAAUUAAAUUUUUUAAAUAUGGUAGAUUAAGAAAGCGGCUGCAAAUUUACUAAUUGAAUUUGCUAUUCGAUGUUUCUAAUUUUUUUAAAUCACAAAUAGGGUUCUAUAGUUGCUGAGGUGAAAAGAAUUUAACUUUUCUUACAUGUUACAGUAAUUGAAAAGCAGAUCAACCCUGGACAACGAUCUACACCAGUAUUACAAAUAAAUGUGCUGUUUAAACUUGUUUUGUGCUCUUAUGAGUUACAAAGUUUUAGUUUUC